CAUCUCUGAUUUCCCCAAGCUCAGAGACAGUCAGCCUGAAUUGAGUCUGAGAUUGAGGAAGGCAGAGCUG
ensembl:miRNA